rnacentral:rRNA from 1 species
CAGCAGCCGCGGUAAUACCAGCACCUCGAGUGGUCAGGAGGUUUAUUGGGCCUAAAGCAUCCGUAGCCGGUUGCAUAAGUUUUCGGUUAAAUCUAUGCGCUUAACGUAUAGGCCGCCGAAAAUACUGUGCAGCUAGGGAGUGGGAGAGGUACACGGUACUCGAUAGGAAGGGGUAAAAUCCUUUGAUCUAUUGAUGACCACCUGUGGCGAAGGCGGUGUACCAGAACACGUUCGACGGUGAGGGAUGAAAGCUGGGGGAGCAAACCGGAUUAGAUACCCCUUGUAGUCCCUGUCUCUUAUA